UACAGAGGGUGCAAACGUUGUUCGGAAUUACUGGGCGUAAAGCGCGUGUAGGCGGUUCAGCAAGUCGGGUGUGAAAGCCCUUGGCUCAACUGAGGAAGUGCAUUCGAAACUGCUGAACUUGAGUCCUGGAGAGGAUAGUGGAAUUCUCGGUGUAGAGGUGAAAUUCGUAGAUAUCGAGAGGAACACCGGUGGCGAAGGCGGCUAUCUGGACAGUGACUGACGCUGAGACGCGAAAGCAUGGGGAG
rnacentral:rRNA from 1 species